AUCGUCAUUAAAAUUAAAAAAAGUAAAACAUCACAAAAAAUCAUUUCUUGAACAUUUCUUGUUCUCAAAGUCAACCCCAACCACCAGACCAUAUCCCACCCCUCUCUCCUUGUUACCGGGAUGCACACCAAUCCAUUCCUAUCGUCGGUUACACUUCCUCCGGUGGCCACUUGUGAGAAUGCGAAGGUUUGUCACACGACACCAUCCCCACCACACAAAACCUGAGGAGCUCCACGCUUUCUUUGUUUUGUGUGUCUUGUGCUGCAGACAAAAUUUGAGGAAAAGGGUCAAAAGGCACUGGUUUUCUUACAUGGAUUCCCAGAAAUAUGGUAUACAUGGAGGCAUAAGAUGAUUGUUGCAGCAAAUGCUGGCUAUCGGACUAUUGCCUUUGAUUUCAGAGGCUAUGGACUUUCUCAACAUCAUGCGAAGCCACAAAAAGCAAACUUACUUGACCUUGUUGAUGAUGUCGUGGGUCUGUUGGAUUCAUUAGGCAUUACCAAGGUCUAGUUCCCCCAGCAUGAAAGAUAUUGAAGCCUAUUCUGCAAUAAAUACAGCAAAAUUGGAUGAAGCAGAACUUGCCAAAUCUGUUCCUCACAAUAUAUGUUUGGAGGUACCAUUCCAAGUAUGAUCAAUAUUUAUAAGCACCAAUUAUGAAGUACUUUUCUAUCCUAUUAGUUUCAUGUCUGGCUUAAUCAAAUCCACUGACAACUAUAGACAAUGUUUUUAUGGACAUGGACAAAUCUAGGUUUUGAGGUUUGGGGGCAGUUGCUCCCCAAGAUUUUUAUUUUUUAAUAUGUAUAACUACAUGCAUAUAAACUCCAUGAAUAGAUAAUAAGAACAAUUAGUACAUCUACUGCUUAUGUUCUAGCUAGUUCGUGUGAAAUGUAAAUCAGAAAACAAAUUAAGAGAUGCGAGUGGAUCAAGAGACAUUGGAUUGUUUCAGCUUAACCAAUGGUCUUGAAUUCGAGUUCAACAUAUGUUGUUCAAUGAGAGUUUUUUUGUCCAUAAUGAUGAUUCUAUCCAACUCAGCCUGCCUCCUAUGGAAAAUACAUUUGGUUCAAGCAAUAUAUUUGUGACAUACGUUGCAGUUUUCCCCAAGGGUGUGUUUCACAAUGAGAUUGAGAUCAUUUUAUGAUUCCUAUUAUAAGCCUGAGUUAAAUAUCAUCUCAUAAUCCAAAUAUAGAUUAGACAAAGAAUAAGUCUCUGGCAAAGUAUUGGUUCAUAAGGUGUUGAAGAACUUGUUGGCUUGGAAAGGAUAGUUAAUUCUUACUUAUUAGUUUUCAUUUGUUUAUAGUAAAUAAUUGGGUGAGAAUUAAAAGAUACUGAUUGCUUAGGACAAAAAACAAGUGAAUUGAAAGAAAAAGGGAAGGAAUUGAAAGGAAGGUAAGGGCAGCUGAGGUUAUAUUAUAUAGAGACAAGGCAGUGGCAGGAGAGAGCCUAUAGGGCAGGGUUGUCUGUUUUUCAUUUUCUCUUAGUUUAUCCAUUUGCUUUUCUUUUUCUUACCUUACGGACAGGGACCAUCCACAACACACUCAAUCAAUGGCACUAAAAGUAAAAAAAAAAAAAAUAAGUGUACACUCUCCCCCAUAUUGGCAUUUCUCUACUACAACUAGCUAACCUUAGUUAAGCCUUCACCCAUAUAAAAAUUAAUUAACCAAUAUCAUUGCCCCAUAUAUUUUUCUUCUUUGGCAAUAAAAUGAGGGUGCAUGGGAAAAUAGAAUGCUUAGUGGCCACUACAGGGGUUCCCCCCUCCCCCUUUUCCCACUCAGAAAUCAAAAGCAUUGCAGUACACAGAGCAUUUAGUUAACACUGGUUUUAUUUCAUUGCAAACUCUAUGAGUUGUAUCAUACCAACAUUAUUUGAUUGUAGUUUUAUGACAAUAGUCAUAAACAUGAGUAAAAACCAACACCUAAUCCCAUUCAAAUGCAAGGCAAUGAUUACACACAAACUUGGAUUCUCUCAAGUGAAAAUAUGUAUCAAGUAUGGAUCUAUCUGCCCUUUUGAAUUAAAGUAUCUUAGAAAUUUAACUAGUUUUAAAUCAAAGGUAGAUACAAACCUACAAUAACAAUAACUAGUUUUAAAGCAAGAACUCAAUAACAAUAUUACAAUAUAUCUGUAGAUGAAAAGACUUAUAGAAGCUGAGCAUAAAACAAAUAGAUUUGCUCAAUUGAAUUAAUCCACAAUAUAAGGGGGUCACAGAAGAGAAAAUUGAUGCAAAACAGUAGUAAAUGCUAACAAAUAUUGAAACUCAAGGAAAUCAAGAGAUCCCAGAGCUGCAUCACAUUGCUGCUAAAAUAUCAUUUCAGGACAAAGAGCAUACUGUUAUGAACCAAGUAUCCCAAAAGCUUAAGCUAUUACGUGAAGGCACAUGAAUGGUUUCAUACAUAUUAAAUCUUUAAUGUGCCCUCUCAUGAAUGGUUUCAUACUAUAUUAAAGCUAGCAUGGUGAAUUUUAACCAUAAACCCCCACGCUUCUCCGUCAUGGCCUAGACCAUAAACCCCAAACCCCAAUGCUCAUUCCGUCACACAUCAAACCCAAUGUCAUCAACGCCCACAGUCACUCCAACCCCAAUGGAAUUCAACAAAGAAGACAUGAAAAUGCAAGAGAGGGGUUCAUACCUUCUAAUGACGAGAGUAAUGUGGUGGAGGAGUUUAGACUUCGACGUCGACGGGGGCACGAUGGUCUUGAGAAGACGACAAUGAUUGCAAGUUCAAUACGAUGAGGUUUAAAGCUAGGUAAGGCACAAGAGUGUUUCAGAGACUUAAGUGAGAACAACGUGUGCAAUCUCUAACCAUACAAAGACGGUUUUCGGGACUAGACCGUCUUUGUAUGGUAAUAAAACAUUUAUAAGUUUGCCAUCAAACAAUAUUUAAAGACGGGUUUAUGCAAACGUCAUCGUUUAGUUCUUGUUAAUUAUGAAAACGCCACCGCCGCACUUUCUAAGACGGUCCUUUACAACUGUCUUAGAAUCGCCGACGUAAAAGGAUAAAUUUUUAGUAGUGAUGGUAUCUUCUUUAUUGUUUUUACAUAGGUCAUGAAUAAUAUUUUACCACUUAUAAUAUUGGGGAACAAGUAAAACUCCAUAUCCUAAAAUAUGGAAUUACCAAUUUCUGGUUUUGAUUAUCCAUUCUAAUAUAUUUUGAAUUGUUCAGUUGCAUGGACGAUUUGGAAAAACGUUAUUUGGAGCUUUUCUCUGCAUAAUCCUUCCACCAUUGGAGAGUUCCUUGGGGAUUUUGAUGGUUGAUAAUGGAUGAGAAACAAGUAGAUGGAGAAACUUUGUUUCUGGGUGUGCAAUGUUUGUAGUAAUUUAUUGUGCUUAUAUCUAGGUUUGUCAUGCAGGCAUGUCAUUGUUGCAAUCAUUUUCAAAAAUUACAAAUCUGAGGACUAUUGUGAUGGGUGUUGACAUUGGGGUUAUAUAAUGCAAUACAUGACUAUUACAUCCAUCCUACCAGGAGUCAAUAGUAUUGGGUGAGGACACCAUAUGACAAACCAAAGCCACCCUCAAAUGAAGAGAAGACCUGGACAACCUAAGAAGGCUAGGAGAAAGGACACAACUGAGGGAGAAAGCAGCAACAAUAGGAUUAUGAUGAAAAGGAAUUUCCCCACUGUUACUUGUAUGAGAUAUGGCCUUGAAGGUCACAACAGUAGGGGCUGCAAUAAUGGUGGUGUGCCACCUAAACCCAAAAAAUGGAACAUUAGGCAUUAGACGUAUAUUAGAUGUGUUGUGGUGUCUUUGUUUUUUGGUAAUGUAUAGUCAUGGUAGAAAUUUUACUACUACUUGGGAACUUAGGUAUGUUAUGUUUAAUGAACAAUAGUUUUAUUUUCUCUGAAUGCUUGUUUUAGCUUUGUGGACUACGUACAUAUUAUCUUAUUUCAUGGAUAAUUCUGCUAUUAA